UCCACUUGGCCUCCUGACAGAAAGUGAGGUCUAAAGCACAUUCAUCCUGGGCCUGGGCUUUUUUGGCCUAAACUCAAGACUCUUGUAGGACAAACAAAAAUGAAAUCCCAAAUGUUAUCACCCUGCCUGAAGAAGUCAAGCGGGUUGAAAUGAAUGCCCUGCACACGCAUGAGACGGGCCGCUCUCCCCCCCUGUUCAGAAGGACGACCUUUGAAACUGUAAGCAGAAAUAAACCUCCCCUACCUUCAGUUGUUCCUGCUCUGUAUUUUGUCACAGUGAUGAGCUCGUCCACAAGAGCAACAUCAAGAAGCAUCUUCUAACCUUUAAACAUCUACAGAAGAAAAACAAUAACAAGAACAACCAUUGUGGUGCAGAUGGCCAGAGUUUGGAAAAUGAAGACCACGUCAUCAGAAAGAAAACAGAAAAAUCACCUUCCGUGACGACAAGCUGUGUAGACGGUACCUUCUUCACUGCCAACCACGAAGUUGUUGACGUCUCCCGUUGGGAAGGCCAUUCCCGUAACAGCGACAGGCUUGGACUUAUUGUACACCAGCUCCAUGCUCUCCUACCAAAACACGGUGUGGUUACAUUUCCAUCUGUCAACCCCUCACCAUGCCAAAGACAGCAUGGAAAAAUCAUUUGGCCAAAUCGUCUGCUUGCUUUUCACACAGCACUACAAAAGACCCCCACAGUGCUAGAAGCCAGGCUCUCCUGCCCCUGACAUCCAGGCUGCUCCGUGUCUCUGGUUUCAGGCCGGCUGGAUUUCAUCAGCAUGGGCCGCUGCUUCCCCAGCCAGGCAGAGAUGACAGUGAAAAGCACGGGUCAUUGCUGUGAACUUGAAGGCUACCUGGAGUUUUUAGCAAGAGUCAAAUGGAACUUUGCUAUUGACCACUGACACUUAGCACAUAUCACCCAAACUAUUAUAAUCAGUUCAGAAACCUGAAGGUCAAGAAGAGUCAUAGAUCCAAAGGACCAUGAAAGAACAGCCUACUUAAUGGAAAGAAACAAGCAAAAUCUCUACUUAAUGGAAAGAAAAGGCAAAAAGGUAACAGUGUAGCCCCCUUUUUCCAAUAGAAAUGUCAGCUUGCUUUUAUUUACUUCAGGAAUAAACAUGCUGUGUGGCAGAAGGAUUUU